rnacentral:rRNA from 1 species
AGUGAACGCUGGCGGUAGGCCUAACACAUGCAAGUCGAACGGCAGCACAGUAAGAGCUUGCUCUUACGGGUGGCGAGUGGCGGACGGGUGAGGAAUACAUCUGAAUCUACUUUUUCGUGGGGGAUAACGUAGGGAAACUUACGCUAAUACCGCAUACGACCUACGGGUGAAAGCAGGGGAUCUUCGGACCUUGCGCGAUUGAAUGAGCCGAUGUCGGAUUAGCUAGUUGGCGGGGUAAAGGCCCACCAAGGCGUCGAUCCGUAGCUGGUCUGAGAGGAUGAUCAGCCACACUGGAACUGAGACACGGUCCAGACUCCUACGGGAGGCAGCAGUGGGGAAUAUUGGACAAUGGGCGCAAGCCUGAUCCAGCCAUACCGCGUGGGUGAAGAAGGCCUUCGGGUUGUAAAGCCCUUUUGUUGGGAAAGAAAAGCAGCGGGUUAAUACCCCGCUGUUCUGACGGUACCCAAAGAAUAAGCACCGGCUAACUUCGUG